rnacentral:misc_RNA from 1 species
GAACGUUGUACCCAAAGAUGGACCUAACACUCUCAAGAUUGUAUAUGACCGUGGUUUGAUUGGCACAACUCAUGACUGGUGUGAAGCAUUUUCAACAUAUCCUAGGACCUAUGAUUUGCUCCAUGCAUGGAAUAUAUUCUCCGACAUUGAAAAGAAAGGCUGCAGUGGUGAGGAUCUGUUACUCGAGAUAGAUCGCAUAGUAAGGCCUAGUGGUUUUGUCAUCUUCCGCGACAAACAACAUGUUAUUGACUUUGUAAAGAAGUAUUUAUCUCCGUUGCACUGGGAAGCGGUAGCUGAUCCAACGCCAGAUCAAGACCAGGAAGGGGAUGAGAUUGUUUUCAUCAUCCAAAAGAAGUUGUGGCUCACAAGUGAAAGCAUCAGAGAUACAGAGUAAAUGAAGUUUGCUACACUAAAGCACCACUUCAUCUUGAUUCAUUUUUCUCCUAACUUUUGAGAUAAAUUAAGAACAACACACCUCAAAGGUCAAAGGAGAUAUCAGUUUGAUUUUGUAGUAUUUAUGAUAUUUAUUUCUUACUUUUCAUCAUUUAACUUAAUUUCCAGUUGUUGUUUCUUUUAGUGACAAACUCAUAGACUACAUAUUAUAUGCAUUUAUAGGCUCUAUUCUUAAAUUUUGGCAUUAGUAAAAGCUUACUUUAUGCAUUACAUGUAAUGUAAAAUUAUGUGUUAAACAUGUU